UGUCCAGUAGCUCAGUGGUCAGAGCACUGGCUAUAUAGGCAGGGGGUCCUUGGUUCAAUCCCAGGUUGGGUCA